GUUCAUUGUUUGUUUAUUAUUCAGGUACUGGAGCUGGUUUUGGUUGGGCUGGAGUUUUUCCGGGUGGUGCUGGUGGACUUUAUCCUGGUGCAGGAGGCAAGGAUACAUUUUCCUUUGCAAUCCCCUAAAACCACAAUCAUAUAUUAAAGAAAUAGUCCAUAUUGAAAUGCAAGUCAUUUACUCAAGCAGCUAGUUUAGUGUUUACAUAUUUUCUUGGGUGUUGGAGCUGGUUUAGGUGGUGUUGGAGCAGGUGGUGCUGGCAGACUUUAUCCAGGGGCAGGAGGUGUGGGUGUUUUUACACCAGCUCAAGGUAAAGCAGCGAAAUAUGGUGCUGGUCCUGGAGUUACUGGUAUUGGUGGUGUACCAGGCGCAGGUGGACUCUUUCCUGGGGCAGGGGGUCCUGGUGCGCUCUCCCCUGCUCAGGCAAAAGCUGCUAAAUACGGUGCAGGAGUAGUUCCUGGUGGCGCUCGGAUUGUGCCAGGAGCUGGAGGGGUCUAUCCUGGACCGGGAGGUAAAAAAAAAAAAAUCUGUCUGUCUGUACAAAACAUCUUGAAGAAUAUUAAAACAUUAUAAUGGUCAUCAUAGAGUCUCAAAACCAUUUCUUUCUUUCUAAGGUCUUACUCCUGCCCAAGCAAAAGCUGCUAAAUACGGUAAUCAUAUACUCAUAUUUAGAAUCCUUCUUAUUCAGAUAUAGCAUGGUUCUUCAAUUC
rnacentral:lncRNA from 1 species